rnacentral:rRNA from 1 species
ACUGGGACUGAGACACGGCCCAGACUCCUACGGGAGGCAGCAGUGAGGAAUUUUCCGCAAUGGGCGAAAGCCUGACGGAGCUAGACCGCGUGAGGGAAGAAGGCCCUUGGGUUGUAAACCUCUUUUCUCAGGAAAGAAGAACUGACGGUACCUGAGGAAUAAGCCUCGGCUAACUCCGUGCCAGCAGCCGCGGUAAUACGGAGGAGGCAAGCGUUAUCCGGAAUUAUUGGGCGUAAAGCGUCCGCAGGCAGCACUAUAAGUCUGCUGUCAAAGACCGCAGCUCAACUGCGGAAAGGCAGUGGAAACUGUCAGACUAGAGUGCGGUAGGGGUAGGGGGAAUUCCCAGUGUAGCGGUGAAAUGCGUAGAUAUUGGGGAGAACACCGGUGGCGAAAGCGCCCUACUAGACCGCAACUGACACUCAGGGACGAAAGCCAGGGUAGCGAAAGGGAUUAGAUACCCCUGUAGUCCUGGCCGUAAACGAUGGAUACUAGGCGUAGCUUGUAUCGACCCGAGCUGUGCCGAAGCUAGCGCGUUAAGUAUCCCGCCUGGGGAGUACGCACGCAAGUGUGAAACUCAAAGGAAUUGACGGGGGCCCGCACAAGCGGUGGAGUAUGUGGUUUAAUUCGAUGCAACGCGAAGAACCUUACCAGGGCUUGACA